CGUAAAUUUUGGCCUAGAAAAUAUCUUACUAAAUUUUUAAUCAGUUGAAUUAUGGUAAAAGUCUAUCAAGCGUGAGAAGGUAACAAUGAAUUAUAUAGUGAAUUAAAAUAAUUAUUUUCUUUUAUUUCUACUAUCUCCCCCCUCCCCCCCUUAACAAUUUUGUUAAAACUUUUUAUAUUAAACCGACGAUUAAAAAAAGUUUUCAACACAAUUCAAACCAUUUUUGUUCACACCUAUGUAUCAUCAUUUAUGCUCUCCAUCGUGCAUGAACAAUUCUUAUAUAGACACAACCAUAAUACAUGACUUACACACAAUAAAUUAUAUUUUUUUAUUAAUUAAAAAAUUAAAAUAAAAUUGUCUCUCUCCUCCAUUAAACCCGCGACUCUCCAUGAUAGCAAUUAAAAACGAAAUUAAAUUUUUAAUAGAGGUCAAUUUUCUCACUUUUAAUUGGUUGUGCGUAAAAAUAUGGAUUUAGAUUCGUAUCCAUGCAAGUAUUUCUCCUGAAGGAGUGUCUUGAAAUUUUAAUAUUUAAUAUAAUAUGAUUAAUUAGGAUCCUUGGAAAUUACGAAGGUUUUGCAAUCUAAUUUUAAUUAUACCUCUCAACAAUUGUUUGUUUCAAACGUUUCCUUUAUAAUAAAGAUGUUUAUAUUCUCAAGUAAGAAAAAACUCAAGUUCAACCUUUGGUGCAUGUGUAGUAAAAUUAUGUAAUUUUAAAAUAGAACAAACAAUUUCUUGUGCGUGUGAAAAUAUAGAAAUUAAGAGUUUAAUUAUAACAAGGAAUAAGAGAGAAACUGAAAUAAUAUAUUACUGAAAUAUUAGAAUGAAUUCUAACAACCAUCAAGAGACAUUUGAAGAAAUUUAAAUUUUCACAGUAUAAAAUAAACAUAUAAAUGUAUACUUCAAAAUGCAUAAGAUCAGAGAACAUAUGGCACAAAUUCUUAAGUUUGUUAGUGUCAUAAUUAUUCUUCUUUUCGAAUUCGUUGUUGUAAUGGAUGGUAUCAUUGUAACAGAUGGAGCUGUUAAAUGCUGGUCUGAUGGAGAAUGUCGUGAAGCAAUGCCUGAUUGCACUCUUCCUAAAGUUCCAAGGUGUAUAUCAGGGAUAUGUUAUUGUGUGUGGUCUGUGUAUAAAUAAAAUAAUGGGUUCGAAAUCCGCUAGGUCCAAAUUGCUUAUUAAAAAAAAGGAAUAAAGUUCAAAAUAAUUAAUUCUAUAAAGUUAUCUCGACCCGUAAAAAAUGUAUAGUUUAGUUCAAAUAUAAAUAAAAUAAUUAAUUAGUCAUCUACCCGUGUGUUGGUACGGGUCGCACAAUAUCGUCAGAAAUAUUAAAUAAAUAUAGUACUUAUAUGGAUUGAAAAACUUAUAUUUUGUCGGCCCGUUACAACAUAUGAUAUAUAAUAUCUGUUCAGUUAAAGUAAAUAUUUUGUCGGCCCGUUAGAAAAAUAGGUUCGGCCCGUCGGACAUGCCUAUAAUUUUUACAUUUUUCUGAAUGGUAAAUUUAUGGAUUCUAUUGA